rnacentral:lncRNA from 1 species
AAUCAUGGCAAUUCAACACAUGCUUCUUGUGCAAGAUUGCACUUUGCUUUUCUUUACAUGUUCUAACUAGCAAAAAGCUUUCUCCCCUUUGUCAUUGUCAAAAAGAAGGGAAGACCCAUUACAUCAAUUAUGACAAAGGUAAGUAUCAAUCUUAAUUGUGCAUCAUCAUAUUUUCAAAUUAGAAUAUGCACAUUUUCAAAAAAAAACUUUAUAUUCAUUUAUGCAUGAUAUUGAAUAAAUCGAUCAACAUUAUAAGGAUAUCAUACAUGAUACUAAAAUUUUUAACUAUUUGUCAACAUUUUGAUCAUGAUACCAAAUAUUCAUCAUUUAGAGUAUUCAUGAUACAAAACAUUAAAUCAAUAUUUAUAAUACAUCAUUUUUGCGAUAACUCAUAGUAUUUUAAAUCAUGAUUUACAUCAUAUUAAUACAUCACAUCAUAAUUAGAAAGCACAAGUAUUGCAUAUAUCAUUGCAAAUCAUAUCAUGAUGGUAUCAAUUUGUCAAAUUAUAUCCUACCAAAAACUUAUCCCCAUUUGUAUUUCAUGCAUAAUUUCACUUCAUCACAUUAGGAGUAUCAAGAGGAAUUAAUUGGGUGAUGAGAUUAAUAUUUCACGAAUACAUGGAAUUGUAUAAAAAAUCAUAUCAUAAGUGUUUCAUACAUUCAUAUCAUCACAUGAAGGAAUAUAAACAAAAAUUAGUGAUGAGAUAUUACUUCAUGAAUACAAUAAAAUUCAUAUAGUAUAUCAUGGUUUAUUAGAAUUAGUCUUCCUUUUGGUGAAUAGCAAAAAGAGUGGUAGGAGAGCAAGAUCUCAAUUCAUGCAUAUCAAAUAUUCAAUCAUCAAAAUCAUGAACCAUCUAGAAAAUUCUCCUCUUUAAAUAUUCAAAGAGAGAAUCAUGAUGAACAUUCUUGGUUUACAUAAAGUUUCAAAACAUAAUUGUCAAGAUUAUGAAUACUAAAAGACUAUGAAACAUUUCGACAAAUCUCCUUUUAAAUAGAAAAAAAAAAAUCUUGAUUCAUAAAGGAUUUCAUGUUAUGAAUUUCAAGAGAUCAAGAUCAUGAUUUCAAUAAAAAAAUUAUUCAAAUUUAAAUCAUCAAAAUCAUUAUCAAAAUCCAAGAGAUUCACAAAGAUGAUACAAAUGGAUUCAUCAAAAUCAAUAAGAUUGAGCAAAAUAAUUUUCAAGAAUGUUAUCCUCUUUUCGAUUAUUUCAAAACAUAUGAUUUUGUUUCAUUUAUACCAAAUAAAAACAUUUAUCAUGUUUAAAACCGAAAGAGUAAGAUUUAUUACAACAAAAAUCAAUAAGGUACUUUCAUUAUGGUAAAAAUCAAUGAUCCAUAAAUCGUAAAAGAUUCAUCAUCCAUAAUUUCGAAAUUUAUUAAGCAUGAUCAUUAAGCAUAACACUAAAACAUGGUUUCAAAAUGUUUAAUAUUUUCAUGCAUAUCAAAUAUUUUCAAAUUCGAACAUGCAAAAUUUCAAAACUAUAUCUUCCAUUUUUCAUACAUAACUCAAUCAUCAUUAUGAGCAUAUUGUACAUGAUAUUCAAGUCAUAAAUUAUCAAGAUGUCAAGUAGAGUAGGUUAAUUUGAAUGUAUCAUUUUUAGUGAAUACCAAGAAGAAUCACAUCAUGAAAGAAUUUUGAUUUAUGGCAAAAUUUCAUGUAUCGAAUAUCGAGAAAUCAAGAUGAUAAUAUAUAUAUAAAACUAUUACAAGUUGUAUUCAAGAGAAAAAUCAUCAUUUGUUUUCAACUCAUUCAAUUUUGUCAAAUCAAUAUCAUGAUUUUGAUAUAACUCAUUUCUAAUUCAAAUCAUCAAACCAAAAUCAUUUUCAAGGGAUUCAUAUAAAUCAACAAGAUAGAGAAAAAUAAUUUUCAAGAACAAUUCUUUUCUCUUUUUAGUUAUUUAAAUUCAUGUCAUUUAUGCUAGAUAAAAAUGUGCGUCAACAUUUAGGAUCGAAAAAUGAAUUUUGUCAUAAAAACCAUCAAGACCAAUAAAUCAUAAAAAUCAUCAUGUAUAACUUUACAAUCUCAUGCAUAAAAUCAUCAAAUCAUAGCAUCAAAACUUUCAAUAAUUUCAUUACAACAUUAAGUAAGGUUUUAUUGAACAUAAUUUUGAAUGAUUCUUAUAGAUAUUUAAAAAUUUCUUUAGUUUUACUUUAUAUGAUUGACUUUAUAUUAGUAUGCUUCAAAUUUUUGUUCUUAUGUCAAAACUAUACAUCAUGUUUGAAAACCAAAGAUAAGGUUCAUAAAAAAAAUCAUCAAACCUUCCAUUCAAAAGUCAUACAUCGUCAUUGAAAUUCAAUAUGGAAAUCGUCAAAAUACAAAUUCUUACUUCUCAAGCACAUAUAUAAGAUUCAUCUUACUAGGUGUAUAAGCAUUAUAUUUAUAUCUAACAUUUUAUUGUAUUAACAUAACACAAGCAAUUUUCAAGAAAGAUAAUUAUUCAAAAGAAAAGAGAAAAUGCAUCAUGGAAAACAUCAAGUAAUUUCAAAAUAAUUAAAGAGAGUUGAGUUACUUACCUUGUAGUCGAAACCCGUCAAAGCCCAAUUCGCCGUUUCACCUUUGGAAGUUCUUGAUUCAUCCUUGGGUGC